rnacentral:lncRNA from 1 species
UGCAGUAAGUGCCUUCCGUGGACAUAUUCUUCUUUUCCUAGGACAGUGCCUAUGCUUUGAUUUACAGAAUAAAUGUCUUAGUGAGUGAAUGGGUGGUGGGACAACUGAGUGAACAUGCUUGCUGAGGUUGUGUUUUUUUUUCCUAUAGAAAGACUUAAUAAUUCCAGGACAUACAACUGCCAUCAUUCACAGUGCACCAGAAGAGCAACCCAAUAACGACAGAAUAACUCGUGUUCAUGGAGUCCAUGAAGAUAACAAAUGUGGCAGGAACGUCAGCUGUAGCGGGUAAGAAGAGUAAAAAAUGUUUUUUCAUCACUCAAGUUGAUCCACACCAGCUAAUUAUGAACUCUGAUCACGGAUUGGACAGAGAUAACAAACGUAGUAAGGAGUCUACCUCCCAAAGAGAUCCUGAAGACAACAACUCACCAAGGAAUUCGAAGGAAGGAAUGUCAACCUUAGCGAGUAAGAAGGGCUUAAAAGAUAUCGCCAUCACUCAAGUUGCUCCACAACAGCCAAUUAAUGAAUAUGCGUUCAACUAUGAUCGUGGAUUGGACAAUGGUAAGGAGUCUACCUCCCAAAGAGAUCCUGAAGACAACAACUCACCAAGGAAUUCGAAGGCAGGAACGUCAGCUGUAGCGGGUAAGAAGAGUAAAAAACGUUUUUUCAUCGCUCAAGUUGCUCCACAACAGCCAAUUAUGAACUCUGAUCACGGAUUGGACAAAGAUAACAAGCGUAGUAAGGAGUCUACCUCCCAAAGAGAUCCUGAAGACAGCAACUCACCAAGGAAUUCGAAGACUAUUUCUACAAAUUCUUGGAAGAAAUCCAUUAAUCAAUCAAUGGCAGCCGAUGCAAAAAGAAAAGAUAUGAAUGAACCACUGGAAGAGUUUGCUAAGGGAUCCACUGAGUUGACGCCUCGUCUGGAAGCAAUACAUCCUUUUUGGACAACAUCAGUGGGAAUGAAUGAAGUACAAACAUGCAGACAAGAUAAUGACAUUAAAACAACAAACAAGGAAGAACAAGAAUGGCUUGAUGGAAGUAAAAAUAAGCAAUUUGAAGAAAAAGGGCAGCGUUGCCAAAGUAAGGAAAUGGAAGUGUUAAGAAACUUGCAUGAAAGUGCUGCUCCUCCUGAUGACAGUGAUGGUUGUGGACUGAAUCAGCAGAGACAGAGUGGGGACCUUGAUAACCAGCAAUCUGCCACUAAGAAGAAUGAAGAAUAUUAUUUCUGCCCUGCCUUGCAUAUAAAGGAAACAAAAAAUGAAAAUGAAAAAGUGACUUCCAUGGAGUAUGGGAUUAGACCAGUGAUAGAGAAUGGCUUUUCACUCACUAGAAGUCUACUGCAAGUGAUUUAUGACAACAAUCUGAGUGAGCUCGAUCGUCUUAAAAGGGAACAGUUAAGAAGAAAAGAAAAGCAAUAUCAUAAAGAAGUAGAAGUGAAACAACUUGAAGUGACACAUAGAACACUAGAAUUGGAUGCGAGGACUUCAAAAAACAAUUUGACCCAGGUAAGUUAAUCUUUGAUAAAAUUUUUAUGUUUCUGACUUGAAUCACUGUUACAUAUAAUGUCCUCCUCAUUCAAGAUAUAUACAUAAAUAUAUAUAUACACACACACGCAUAUACUAAACAGGUGUGUAUGCACACAGACACACACACAGAUGUGUAAUCUUUAUUUAAAGUAACCCAAAAAUUAUUCUGAAGAUGAAUUAUGACAUAUACUGCUGGAGUUAUUGCUUGUGAGUCUUGGUACAUGAUGGUGCUUAGUACAUAUUUUCUAAAUAAAGCAGUGCAUAUUGAGUUGAAUUUAAUAACU